UCGGAUCAGGUAGGGAUACCCG
rnacentral:rRNA from 2 species